AAAUAAGAAGCAAUAUUUGCAUUUAGUUUCGACCUAAAAAUUUGAUUUUAUUAUCCUUAUUUU
rnacentral:tRNA from 1 species